rnacentral:rRNA from 1 species
CUACGGGAAUGCAGCAGUAAGGAAUAUUGGUCAAUGGACGCAAGUCUGAACCAGCCAUGCCGCGUGCAGGAUGACAGCCCUAUGGGUUGUAAACUGCUUUUAUCAGGGAAUAAACCCCCCGACGUGUCGGGGGUUGAAGGUACCUGAAGAAUAAGGACCGGCUAACUCCGUGCCAGCAGCCGCGGUAAUACGGAGGGUCCGAGCGUUAUCCGGAUUUAUUGGGUUUAAAGGGUGCGCAGGCGGAAUAAUAAGUCAGUGGUGAAAUCUCCCGGCUCAACCGGGAAACUGCCAUUGAUACUGUUAUUCUUGAGUAUAGUUGUAGUGGGCGGAAUAUAGCAUGUAGCGGUGAAAUGCUUAGAUAUGCUAUAGAACACCGAUCGUGAAGGCAGCUCACUAAACUAUAACUGACGCUCAGGCACGAAAGCGUGGGGAGCAAACAGGAUUAGAUACCCUGGUAGUC